CAGCCAUGCCGCGUGUGUGAAGAAGGCCUUCGGGUUGUAAAGCACUUUCAGCGAGGAGGAAGGCGUUAAGGUUAAUAACCUAGCGAUUGACGUUACUCGCACAAGAAGCACCGGCUAACUCCGUGCCGGCAGCCGCGGUAAUACGGAGGGUGCAAGCGUUAAUCGGAAUUACUGGGCGUAAAGCGCACGCAGGCGGUUGUUAAGUCAGAUGUG
rnacentral:rRNA from 1 species